GGGAGAGUCGUUCCUGAGAGCACAUGCACCCCCAAAUGUCAAGUGCACUCGGACACACACACACACACGCACGCACACACAAGCACUCAUGUUCUAGAGAGAGAGGUCUGAGUCCGAAGUUGCUGCUGCUGGGAGCUUGAGCUGAGAUGGACUGGUCUUCAUGGGCGCCCAAGGCGCUGGGUGCAGCUUUCCCCGAGACCCCCAGAUGGAAAGGAGGGAAGGAGGAACCCCACACACUCGCCUUUUGCGAGAAGAUCGGCGCGCACCCCAGAGUGCCCCAAGCCUUUGGAAUCUGCCUGCUGAGCGGAGCGCGCGAGCGUGGUGGACAGGUCCCGAACUUGGCCAGCGGGCUUUCUUGGCAACUUGCUUUGCGCAGUUCUCCAUGGAACCCUGGACCCACUGUGCUCCCGGCGCCUUGCCUUUUUUUUUCUUUUUCUUUCUCUCACUGUCUCUUUUUAAAUUUAUGAACUCGAAAUGAAGCGGAAAGCAGAUAUGCGCGUCAGCAUACUUUGGCGGGGAUCAUUUUACUUCCUAUCAUCAACAAAAAUAGCCAGAAUUACAUUGAAACUCAUGCAAUAACUACAGAUGAUCAUUUUAUUCAUCUUUGGAUGUGUUCGUUUUUUCCAUUUUUUGGUGAAUUUCUGGACACUGAUGAUAAACCAUGACAGAAUACUUUUAUGUACUAUGCCUCCUCCUAAACAUUUUUCAGACACCUCAUUAUGUAACCUGCAGCUCAUAAUGAAUGCAUAACAUGUGUAUCAUAUUAAUAGAGUUCUUCUAAAGAGAUCUCCUACGUUUUUAUUUUCAAGUAGUUCUUCAUGUGGGGGAUGGUCAGUGGGAGAUGGCACUUCAUAAGAUCUGCUGUGGUCACCCCAGUCAUCAUCCGACGUGUUGCACCAGUUUGUGGCACUUCAUAAGUUCUGCGGUGGUCACCCCAGUCAUCAUCCGACGUGUUGCACCAGUGUGUGUUGCUGUUUGAGCCGUGCUGCCGACCCCUUCCAGGGCAUCUGCCAUGGGCACCUCCUCCAGCCCGUGCACUAAGACUCAAGAGAGUCGAAGAACCAGGGAAUCGUUGUAAUAACAAGCAUUCUGAAUUGCAUCAUACUGUGUACUAGGUGGGUUUAAAAGAUAACUCAUCUCAAAUGGGUUAGCGUGACCAAUAUGGCUUAAUCGUGAUGUUUAACUGAUUUCAUCUUGCCAUGGAGCCUAUAUUCCCAUUGAGGGUGGAAGAAAAGAUAACAUUUUUCUUAGUUAAAGGUAACAAUCUUUUCUGGACUGAAACUAUUUCUUUUUGAAAAAUCGAGUUUCUGAAUCCAUCAACUCAAAACUCAGAUUAUUUACCAGGGCCAUUUCCUGUUUGCUGCUUCUUCCAAAGUAGGUGCCCUGUGGCAAGACAGAUGCGAUGGCUUCCUGGAGUCAGGACAGGGACCACACAUAAUCGAGGCUGUCAUGUUUUGUUGCAGGUACCUGACCUCACGUGGUGGCACAGCUUCUCUCACCGGGACUCUGGGCCAAGGCCUCAGUCCUCCCUGUACCUACUGCUGUGGGGCCAGCUUAGUCACUCCCCUAGGCAUGGCCAAGGCGGAAGUCCCCUCUGCAGCUUGCUUUGUCCCACCUUGGCAUUCGUGUAGGAUUCAAACAAGUCCCUCACCUGGCCCCUGGCUUAGACUGUCCACCCACAGCAAUCUUGGCUCUGAAAUCACCUUGUUUCUCAUCUCGAUGGUUUCUUGAUGGGCCUCAGCUCUCAGCUACCUUCCUUAGCAGGAGUAUUCGGGAACUUCUGUUGCUGGAAACACGGGAGAGCAUUCUGCCUGAAGGCCGCACUGCCAUUUCUCCUUUGAGGUAGAACAUCACCUUGGUGCAGAGCACUCCAUGAGGUCUCCUCCCAGAGCCUUCCCGGUGGGAGGUAGGUGCAAGCUCCUCUGCUCUCUGACUUAGUUCUGCCUCCAUCCCCACCACACUCACUACUGAGAGGUGGAACCUCCUCCCCAGGAAGGGAGAAUCAAUAACUCUUUCUCCUGGCGGUGUACUCUUCUCUUGUUCUCCAUUGACAGAGCUUUAUACUUUCUUUGCCUGAUGGUAGGAACUUUCUCUACCUAUCCUGAGGUCUCUCCACCUGCACUUGAUAAUAAAACUCUUGGUUCAGG
rnacentral:lncRNA from 1 species